GCUCCUGUAGCUCAACUGGAUAGAGCGCCUGCCUACGAAGCAGGUUGUUGGAGGUUCGACCCCUCUCAGGAGUUCUA
rnacentral:tRNA from 1 species